UUGGCUCUCGAGUUUCAACAAUGGUCCAACAGGAUAAACAGGAGGAGUAUCACAAUCACCACUUGAAAGAAACUUCAACACAUAAGGUUCAAGCUCAGCAACAGUAUUUAUCAAAAUACCCUUCAUUUCUCUAAAUUUUCUCGCUUGAUUUACAAACAUUGGGAGCGUCACUUUAGAUGCGAAAAUGUCAGGAAGACACUUCACCGGAUAAGGACGACUCAAACCUGGAACGUUCAACACAGCUUCCGAGUCUACGUGAUCACUUUCACUAACAUCGUACUUGUUCUCAUCGU
rnacentral:lncRNA from 1 species